rnacentral:rRNA from 1 species
GACAGAGGUCCCGAGCGUUAGGCGGAAUCACUGGGCUUAAAGCGUGUGUAGGCGGACUUGUAAGUACCUUGUGAAAUCCCACGGCUUAACCGUGGAACUGCUCGGUAUACUGCGAGUCUUGAGCCACUUAGGGGCUACCGGAACAAAUGGUGGAGCGGUGAAAUGCGUAGAUAUCAUUUGGAACGCCAAUGGUGAAAAACAGGUAGCUGGGAGUGUGCUGACGCUGAGACACGAAAGCCAGGGGAGCAAACGGG